UGACUGGGUAGUUAUCCAUCCAUUUGUUGUGCGCUGUGUCUGUGACAUAUAGAGGUGAUUAAACAUUUAUAAUGAUUUCCCAAAAUUCAUACCAGCCCUCCAAGUCAAACCGUAACUACAAAGUGGCCCGCGACAAAAAUGAUUUGGGCACCCCUGCUGUAGAUGAUUCCAAUCAUAAUCAGCCUAAAAAUCUAAAUCAACUUUUUUUUUUCCAGAUUGUUCCCCAGUGCGAAGGUACCUCUCCACACAGUCGCUUAGCCGAGAGGCCAGAGAUGAUGCAGGAGCAUCAUGACCGCCAAUGGCAUACAGGAAGCCAUGCCACGUGGCCACGCCCACGCCACCGCGCCGUUUCGCCAUGGGAGCACAAUCGUUCCACCUG